rnacentral:rRNA from 1 species
UACGUAGGUGGCAAGCGUUGUCCGGAAUUAUUGGGCGUAAAGCGCGCGCAGGCGGCUUCUUAAGUCCAUCUUAAAAGUGCGGGGCUUAACCUCGUGAUGGGAUGGAAACUGGGAGGCUGGAGUAUCGGAGAGGAAAGUGGAAUUCCUAGUGUAGCGGUGAAAUGCGUAGAGAUUAGGAAGAACACCGGUGGCGAAGGCGACUUUCUGGACGACAACUGACGCUGAGGCGCGAAAGCGUGGGGAGCAAACAGG